rnacentral:rRNA from 1 species
CCUACGGGCGGCAGCAGUGGGGAAUAUCGCACAAUGGGCGCAAGCCUGAUGCAGCCAUGCCGCGUGUGUGAAGAAGGCCUUCGGGUUGUAGAGCACUUUCAGCGGGGAGGAAGGCGUUAAGGUUAAUAACCUUGUCGAUUGACGUUACCCGCAGAAGAAGCACCGGCUAACUCCGUGCCAGCAGCCGCGGUAAUACGGAGGGUGCAAGCGUUAAUCGGAAUUACUGGGCGUAAAGCGCACGCAGGCGGUCUGUCAAGUCGGAUGUGAAAUCCCCAGGCUCAACCUGGGAACUGCAUUCGAAACUGGCAGGCUAGAGUCUUGUAGAGGGGGGUAGAAUUCCAGGUGUAGCGGUGAAAUGCGUAGAGAUCUGGAGGAAUACCGGUGGCGAAGGCGGCCCCCUGGACAAAGACUGACGCUCAGGUGCGAAAGCGUGGGGAGCAAACAGGAUUAGAUACCCGAGUAGUC